rnacentral:rRNA from 1 species
GAUGAACGCUGGCGGCGUGCCUAAUACAUGCAAGUCGAGCGAAUGGAUUGAGAGCUUGCUCUUAUGAAGUUAGCGGCGGACGGGUGAGUAACACGUGGGUAACCUGCCCAUAAGACUGGGAUAACUCCGGGAAACCGGGGCUAAUACCGGAUGACAUUUUGAACCGAAUGGUUCGAAAUUGAAAGGCGGCUUCGGCUGUCACUUAUGGAUGGACCCGCGUCGCAUUAGCUAGUUGGUGAGGUAACGGCUCACCAAGGCAACGAUGCGUAGCCGACCUGAGAGGGUGAUCGGCCACACUGGGACUGAGACACGGCCCAGACUCCUACGGGAGGCAGCAGUAGGGAAUCUUCCGCAAUGGACGAAAGUCUGACGGAGCAACGCCGCGUGAGUGAUGAAGGCUUUCGGGUCGUAAAACUCUGUUGUUAGGGAAGAACAAGUGCUAGUUGAAUAAGCUGGCACCUUGACGGUACCUAACCAGAAAGCCACGGCUAACUACGUGCCAGCCGCCGCCGUAA